AUUGAACGCUGGCGGCAGGCCUAACACAUGCAAGUCGAACGGUAACAGGAAGCAGCUUGCUGCUUCGCUGACGAGUGGCGGACGGGUGAGUAAUGUCUGGGAAGCUGCCUGAUGGAGGGGGAUAACUACUGGAAACGGUAGCUAAUACCGCAUAAUGUCGCAAGCCCAAAGAGGGGGACCUUCGGGCCUCUUGCCAUCGGAUGUGCCCAGAUGGGAUUAGCUUGUUGGUGGGGUAACGGCUCACCAAGGCGACGAUCCCUAGCUGGUCUGAGAGGAUGACCAGACACACUGGAACUGAGACACGGUCCAGACUCCUACGGGAGGCAGCAGUGGGGAAUAUUGCACAAUGGGCGCAAGCCUGAUGCAGCAAUGCCGCGUGUAUGAAGAAGGCCUUCGGGUUGUAAAGUACUUUCAGCGGGGAGGAAGGGAGUAAAGUUAAUACCUUUGCUCAUUGACGUUACCCGAAGAAGAAGCACCGGCUAACUCCGUG
rnacentral:rRNA from 1 species